rnacentral:misc_RNA from 1 species
UUAAGUUCAGCGGGUAUUCCUACCUGAUCCGAGGUCAAACUUUCAGAAGUGGGGGGUUUAACGGCGUGGCCGCGCUGCGAUCCAGUGCGAGUGUUGCUACCACGCAGACGGAAGACUACAGCGAGACCGCCACUAGAUUUAGGGGACGGCGCGCCACGAGGGCACGCCGAUCCCCAACACCAAGCCCGGGGGCUUGAGGG